rnacentral:rRNA from 1 species
GACGAACGCUGGCGGCGUGCUUAACACAUGCAAGUCGAACGGUAAGGCCCUUCGGGGUACACGAGUGGCGAACGGGUGAGUAACACGUGGGUGAUCUGCCCUGCACUUCGGGAUAAGCCUGGGAAACUGGGUCUAAUACCGGAUAGGACCACUGCCUGCAUGGGUGGUGGUGGAAAGCUUUUGCGGUGUGGGAUGGGCCCGCGGCCUAUCAGCUUGUUGGUGGGGUGAUGGCCUACCAAGGCGACGACGGGUAGCCGGCCUGAGAGGGUGACCGGCCACACUGGGGCUGAGAGACGGCGCAGACUGCUACGGGAGGCAGCAGUGGGGAAUAUUGCACAAUGGGCGCAAGCCUGAUGCAGCGACGCCGCGUGAGGGAUGACGGCCUUCGGGUUGUAAACCUCUUUCAGCACCGACGAAGCGCAAGUGACGGUAGGUGCAGAAGAAGGACCGGCCAACUACGUGCCAGCCGCCGCCGUAA